CUCCCUUCUUCUUUUCUUCUUCUUUCUGUUUUCUUUUCUUUUUCUUCUGUCUCCCUCUCGGCUCUCUCUCUCAUAUCUCCCUCAUCUCUCUUCUCUGCACCGCAGCACGCACGCACCCAUCUCCUCUGCUCCUCCCUCACCUUCCUCCUCGUCGAACCCACAUGCACACCAUCGCACCUGCUCCGGCGAGUUCCUUCUAUUUCUCCGGUUAGGUAAGCUUCGGGUUUUUCUUUUUAUGUUCUAGAUCGAAGCUUAGAUGUGAAAUUGAAGUUAUAUCUCGUCUUUUUGCAAGGUUUUUGGGAUGAAAUCGACUCGGGAUAGGCACACCCAUCUCCGGCGAGGCCGUCGGUGUCGUCGCACUUUCCGAACACCUCCGGCCGUUUCAUGGCAAACGGACGUUAUAAAAACGUUCCUCUCAUCCUCUAUUUCAUGUUCAUACCUAGAUCGGAGUCUAGGGGUUGUUUUACAGUCGGCCGGAGCUGUAGAAGCUCCGGCGUUCGUCUCCGACUUCCACAGUUCCGAUAAUUUCGCGAUAAUAUCGCGAUAUUAUCGAUAUUAUCGAUAUUAUCGCGAAAUUAUGACGAAAACCCCUUGGAUACCACUUAGAAUAUCGGGUUAACGAAAAUUCGAUAAUAUCGGCGAUAUAUCGCCGAUAUUAUCGAUAUUUUCUU
rnacentral:lncRNA from 1 species